GAGGAAAGAGGGAGGGGGGAAGAAGAGAGGAAAGUCGAGAGAAAGGAAGAGAAGCUUGAUGAGAUGAGGUUAGCGGCGGACGGGUGAGUAACACGUGGAUAACCUACCUAUAAGACUGGGAUAACUUAGGGAAACCGGAGCUAAUACCGGAUAAUAUUUUGAACCGCAUGGUUCAAAAGUGAAAGACGGUCUUGCUGUCACUUAUAGAUGGAUCCGCGCUGCAUUAGCUAGUUGGUAAGGUAACGGCUUACCAAGGCACGGAUGCAUAGCCGACCUGAGAGCGUUCUCGGCCACCCUGGAACUGAGCCACUGUCCAGACUCCUGCGGGAGGCAGCAGUAGGGAAUCUUCCGCAAUGGGCGAAAGCCUGACGGAGCAACGCCGCGUGAGUGAUGAAGGUCUUCGGAUCGUAACCCUCUGUUAUUAGGGAAGAACAUAUGUGUAAGUAACUGUGCACAUCUUGACGGUACCUAAUCAGAAAGCCACGGCUACCUACGUC
rnacentral:rRNA from 1 species